UAAGGAAUAUUGGUCAAUGGACGGAAGUCUGAACCAGCCAUGCCGCGUGAAGGAAGAAGGUCUUCUGGAUUGUAAACUUCUUUUAUUAAGGAAAAAAGGAUACUUUUUGAAGUAUUUUGAUGGUACUUAAGGAAUAAGCACCGGCUAACUCCGUGCCAGCAGCCGCGGUAAUACGGAGGGUGCGAGCGUUAUCCGGAUUUACUGGGUUUAAAGGGUGCGUAGGUGGGCAUAUAAGUUUGAGGUGAAAUAUCGGAGCUUAACUUCGAAAUUGCCUUGGAUACUGUAUGUCUUGAAUAUAGUAGGGAUAACCGGAAUAUGUCAAGUAGCGGUAAAAUGCAUAGAUAUGACAUAGAACACCGAUAGUGAAGACGGGUUAUUAAGCUAAUAUUGACACUGAGGCACGAAAGCGUGGGUAGCGAACA
rnacentral:rRNA from 1 species